GUAGGUGGCAAGCGUUGCCCGGGAAUUAUUGGGGCGUAAAGCGCGCGCAGGCGGGUUUUUUAAGUCUGAUGUGAAAGCCCACGGGCUCAACCGUGGGAGGGGUCAUUGGAAACUGGAGAACUUGAGUGCAGAAGAGGAGAGCGGAAUUCCACGUGUAGCGGUGAAAUGCGUAGAGAUGUGGAGGAACACCAGUGGCGAAGGCGGCUCUCUGGUCUGUAACUGACGCUGAGGCGCGAAAGCGUGGGGAGCAAACAGGAUUAGAUACCCUGGUAGUCCACGCCGUAAACGAUGAGUGCUAAGUGUUAGAGGGUUUCCGCCCUUUAGUGCUGCAGCAAACGCAUUAAGCACUCCGCCUGGGGAGUACGGUCGCAAGACUG
rnacentral:rRNA from 1 species